AGAGUUUGAUCCUGGCUCAGGACGAACGCUGGCGGCGUGCUUAACACAUGCAAGUCGAACGAGACGAUUGAAAGCUUGCUUUUGAAAGUCGAGUGGCAAACGGGUGAGUAACGCGUAGACAACCUGCCGUAAAGAUGGGGACAACAGUCCGAAAGGACUGCUAAUACCGAAUGUUGUAAAUCUUCCGCAUGGAAGACUUACUAAAGGUGGCCUCUACUUGUAAGCUAUCGCUUUACGAUGGGUCUGCGUCUGAUUAGCUAGUUGGUGGGGUAACGGCCCACCAAGGCGACGAUCAGUAGCCGGUCUGAGAGGAUGAACGGCCACAUUGGGACUGAGAUACGGCCCAGACUCCUACGGGAGGCAGCAGUGGGGAAUAUUGGGCAAUGGGCGAAAGCCCGACCCAGCAACGCCGCGUGAAGGAAGAAGGCCUUCGGGUUGUAAACUUCUUUUACCAGGGACGAAGGACGUGACGGUACCUGGAGAAAAGCAACGGCUAACUACGUGCCAGCAGCCGCGGUAAUACGUAGGUUGCAAGCGUUGUCCGGAUUUACUGGGUGUAAAGGGCGUGUAGGCGGAGAUGCAAGUUAGGAGUGAAAUCUAUGGGCUCAACCCAUAAACUGCUUCUAAAACUGUAUCCCUUGAGUAUCGGAGAGGCAAGCGGAAUUCCUAGUGUAGCGGUGAAAUGCGUAGAUAUUAGGAGGAACACCAGUGGCGAAGGCGGCUUGCUGGACGACAACUGACGCUGAGGCGCGAAAGCGUGGGGAGCAAACAGGAUUAGAUACCCUGGUAGUCCACGCUGUAAACGAUGAAUACUAGGUGUGGGGGGACUGACCCCCUCCGUGCCGCAGUUAACACAAUAAGUAUUCCACCUGGGGAGUACGACCGCAAGGUUGAAACUCAAAGGAAUUGACGGGGGCCCGCACAAGCAGUGGAUUAUGUGGUUUAAUUCGACGCAACGCGAAGAACCUUACCAGGACUUGACAUCCAACUAACGAAGUAGAGAUACAUCAGGUGCCCUUCGGGGAAAGUUGAGACAGGUGGUGCAUGGUUGUCGUCAGCUCGUGUCGUGAGAUGUUGGGUUAAGUCCCGCAACGAGCGCAACCCCUAUUGUUAGUUGCUACGAAAGAGCACUCUAGCGAGACUGCCGUUGACAAAACGGAGGAAGGCGGGGACGACGUCAAAUCAUCAUGCCCCUUAUGUCCUGGGCUACACACGUAAUACAAUGGUGGCCAACAGAGGGAAGCGAAGCCGUGAGGCGGAGCAAAUCCCUAAAAGCCAUCUCAGUUCGGAUUGCAGGCUGCAACUCGCCUGCAUGAAGCUGGAAUUGCUAGUAAUCGCGGAUCAGCAUGCCGCGGUGAAUACGUUCCCGGGCCUUGUACACACCGCCCGUCACACCAUGAGAGUCGGGAACACCCGAAGUCCGUAGUCUAACCGCAAGGGGGGCGCGGCCGAAGGUGGGUCCGGUAAUUGGGGUGAAGUCGUAACAAGGUA
rnacentral:rRNA from 1 species